GUGUCAGCAGCCGCGGUAAUACGUAGGAGGCAAGCGUUAUCCGGAUUUACUGGGCGUAAAGCGGGCGUAGGCGGUCCUUCAAGUCGGAUGUAAAAUCUCCCGGCUCAACUGGGAGAGACCAUUCGAAACUGCUGGACUUGAGGAUAGCAGAGGGAGGUGGAAUUCCCGGUGUAGUGGUGAUAUGCGUAGAUAUCGGGAGGAACACCAGUGGCGAAGGCGGCCUCCUGGGCUAUUUCUGACGCUGAGGCCCGAAAGCGUGGGGAGCGAACAGAAUUAGAUACUCUGGUAGUCCACGCUAUAAACGAUGGACACUAGGUAUGGGGAGUAUCGACCCUCUCUGUGCCGAAGCUAACGCGUUAAGUGUCCCGCCUGGGGACUACGGCCGCAAGGCUAAAACUCAAAGGAAUUGACGGGG
rnacentral:rRNA from 1 species